UACGUAGGGUGCAAGCGUUAAUCGGAAUUACUGGGCGUAAAGCGUGCGCAGGCGGUUUGCUAAGACCGAUGUGAAAUCCCCGGGCUUAACCUGGGAACUGCAUUGGUGACUGGCAAGCUAGAGUGUGGCAGAGGGGGGUAGAAUUCCACGUGUAGCAGUGAAAUGCGUAGAGAUGUGGAGGAAUACCGAUAGCGAAGGCAGCCCCCUGGGCCAACACUGACGCUCAUGCACGAAAGCGUGGGGAGCAAACGGG
rnacentral:rRNA from 1 species